rnacentral:rRNA from 1 species
UACGUAGGGUGCGAGCGUUAAUCGGAAUUACUGGGCGUAAAGCGUGCGUAGGCGGUUCGCUGUGUCCGAUGUGAAAGCCCCCGGGCUUAACCUGGGAAUGGCAUUGGAAACUGGCGGGCUAGAGUAUGGCAGAGGGGGGUAGAAUUCCACGUGUAGCAGUGAAAUGCGUAGAGAUGUGGAGGAAUACCGAUGGCGAAGGCAGCCCCCUGGGCCAAUACUGACGCUCAUGCACGAAAGCGUGGGGAGCAAACAGG